ACCCGCUGAACUUAAGCAUAUCAAUAAGCGGAGGAAAAGAAACUAACAAGGGUUCCCCUAGUAACUGCGAGUGAAGCGGGAAAAGCUCAAAUUUAAAAUCUGGUAGUCUUUGGCUGCCCGAGUUGUAAUCUAGAGAAGUGUUACCCGUGCUGGACCGUGUACAAGUCUCCUGGAAUGGAGCGUCAUAGAGGGUGAGAAUCCCGUCUUUGACACGGACUCCCAGUGCUUUUGUGGUGCGCUCUCAACGAGUCGAGUUGUUUGGGAAUGCAGCUCAAAAUGGGUGGUGAAUUCCAUCUAAAGCUAAAUAUUGGCGAGAGACCGAUAGCGAACAAGUACCGUGAGGGAAAGAUGAAAAGAACUUUGGAAAGAGAGUUAAACAGUACGUGAAAUUGUUGAAAGGGAAACGCUUGAAGUCAGUCGCGUUGUCCAGAAAUCAACCUUGGUUCUCCUGGGUGUACUUUCUGGUUCAACGGGUCAGCAUCAGUUUUGAUCGAUGGAGAAAGUCCAAGGGAAUGUGGCAUCUUCGGAUGUGUUAUAGCCCUCGGUCGUAUGCAUCGGUUGGGACUGAGGAAUUCAGCACGCCGCAAGGCCGGGGUUCGCCCACGUACGUGCUUAGGAUGCUGGCAUAAUGGCUUU
rnacentral:rRNA from 1 species